rnacentral:rRNA from 1 species
CCUACGGGAGGCAGCAGUGGGGGAUAUUGCACAAUGGGGGAAACCCUGAUGCAGUGACGCCGCGUGGGUGAAGAAGGAUUUCGGUAUGUAAAGCCCUAUCAGCAGGGAAGAAAGAAGACGGUACCUGACUAAGAAGCCCCGGCUAACUACGUGCCAGCAGCCGCGGUAAUACGUAGGGGGCGAGCGUUAUCCGGAUUCACUGGGUGUAAAGGGAGCGUAGACGGCCGUGCAAGCCAGGAGUGAAAGCCCGGGGCCCAACCCCGGGACUGCUCUUGGAACUGUGCGGCUGGAGUGCGGGAGGGGCAGGCGGAACUCCUGGUGUAGCGGUGAAAUGCGUAGAUAUCAGGAGGAACACCGGCGGCGAAGGCGGCCUGCUGGACCGCGACUGACGUUGAGGCUCGAAAGCGUGGGGAGCGAACAGGAUUAGAUACCCGAGUAGUC